AGUUGAUUCUCCUAGCUAAGAGUUGAUUCUCCUAGCUGAGAGUUGGUUCUCCUAGCUGAGAGUUGAUUCUCCUAGCUGAGAGUUGGUUCUCCUAGCUGAGAGUUGAUUCUCCUAGCUGAGAGUUGAUUCUCCUAGCUGAGAGUUGGUUCUCCUAGCUGAGAGUUGGUUAAGGAGUGGACAUGGCAUAUGUCACUCGCCGAUUCUCCUAGCUGGGAGUUGGUUAUGGAGUUGACAUGACAUGUCACUCGCUGAUUCUCCUUGCAGCAAGUAAACUUGAAACAUGAGUACUGUUAUCUUUGUUCACUGGAUUCUGGUAUUAUUGAACCGAGCUGGGGUUUACCCUUACAAAGUAAUAGAGAUACCCCACAUUAAUUGGUCCUUCGAGCCGGAUUCCAAUACAUCGUGACGGGAAGGAGGAGGGAAAAGACACGCCGCAAGUCUGUCGACAGCCGGGAUCAUCAGCCGACCCCGAGAAAGACCCGGGACGCAGAAUUGGUGGCCGGGCCGGUGCUUAUAUGUCCAACCUCCCUCAUCCUCGGCACGAUUGACGGAAUCCAACCGGACCAGUGACCACAGAUAACGGGAUACUCGAGUGCAGACUGGUGACCAGGUCCUCGUGAAGGUGAUUAAGAGGAAGCAUUGGCACUGUCCACGGUGGGACGGUCCCUACACGGUAUUGCUGACAACACCGACUGCACUAAAAAUCGCCGAAAGAACUACGUGGAUACAUCAGAGCCACUGCAAAAAGAUAAUACCUCUCCAACUUAACGACAGAUAAGUGGUGGAAGUCCGGCUACAAAGGGCGGUGUUUCAUUAGGAAAUACUGGUCUCAACCCCGGUGAAGAAAACAACAGAACCACUAUCACAACUAGACUAUGUUGGGAGAGGUGUUGUGUGUAGUGACCCUGCUGGGUCUGACGCUAAUGACUAUAAAGACACUGUAACCAGCUAGUAAUUAUGAAAAACAGGAGGGAAUGUUAGAGUUUAUUGAAGGAUAAAAGUGUUUUCAUAAUGUAUAUACUAUUUUCAUUAAUGUGUUUUCAUUAAUGUAUUCUCAUAAAAUGUGUUCUCAUAAAAUGUGUUAUGUAGCAACAGAGAACAGUCUGUUCUCUGUCAAAUGGCACACAUACACACACACAGAUUCACAUGACUGACAGUCACAAGAUUCACACACUAACAAAUAAGGCGUUUGUCAACACCACAUGAUUGUCUCAUGUUACUGUUUUUUGAAAUAAAAAGACUGCACUGAGAGAGUUGGUGAGAGUUGGUUCUUCUAGCUGAGAGUUGGUUCUCCUAGCUGAGAGUUGGUUAAGGAGUGGACAUGGCAUAUGUCACUCGCCGAUUCUCCUAGCUGGGAGUUGGUUAUGGAGUUGACAUGACAUGUCACUCGCUGAUUCUCCUUGCAGCAAGUAAACU